GGGCGCUUGGUCUAGGGGUAUGAUACUCGCUUCGCAUAAUUCGAAUGCAGAAUGUGAGUGGUCGUGGGUUCAAUUCCCACAGCGUCCA